CUUGGGUGAUAGCCCUGGAGAUCAGCAGGAAUGAAGCGAAGCAGCACGGGAGGCUUUCUUUUCUGCCUCCACUUAGAUCUUCAUGGCUGCUUGUGUUGCCCGCCUUAAAGAUACUUUCCUCCAGAUGUGUAACCGAAGGAGCUGAACCUACUCUUUCUGUGGAUGGCCAGCAUCAAGGGCCUGUCGCUGGGGUGCAGCUGCACGAGCACGGGCGUCUCAAUCAGGUCCUGAGAAGCCACGGGGAUUCCAGGGUCCGGAGAGGCUGUGCCACAAAUCGGGCUGUACUCCUGUCCCACGUGCUGCACUUGGGUCUGGUCUCCUGCAGGAGUAAAGCACAUGUUGAUUUUGCACUUCUCUUCGUAAGGUCUAUCUCUUUUCUCAUGGAGUCCACCAGUCUGGCCACAUGUGGCCUGCUGUUUAACAGGCUCUGCCCGGAAAGCCCUCUCACACAUGGGUCCAACUCAGGAAGUCUCCUUCUGUCACUUGGGUGACCUUGUCUAGUCCUCUGUGCUGGCUCCCCCAGGAGGGGCCGGGCCUUUGCUUCGUGGCUCAGGUCUUCUCCGAAGCGCUCACACUGCGUCUGGGGCACCCGUCCCUUGAGCUGGUCCCUGUCACUGGAACAGGCCCACUGCAGGGCCUCUGGUCCUGUUUACGGAGCCCUCACCGGUCAGCAUCCCCAGGUCUCCUGCAGAGGUUUCCUCCCACUUUUCCUCUGUGUGGAAGGAUGCCCUGCCAUGCAGCUCCCAGGCUCUGCUCUGGUCCUGAUGCUGCAGGGUGGGGUGCAGCCUCACCCGGAGACUCUCUGUAGCACCUCUCCAAGGUGGGUCCACAGGACACCUGAGCCAGCAGGGCUGCAGGUGACAGGGCCUGGCUUCGUGUAGAUGACAGGGAGGACUGCCCUCCAAGCAGCAAGGAGGCGACUGGCCCGUCAGAAAGCCCAGGGUGCUGGUCCUGUGUGGCCACUUCCUGAGCUGCUUCCUGAGAACAUGCUUCCCGUGCACUGCCACAGCCACUGGGUUUCGUGUUUUCAUGCAACCAAGGAGGAGGAGCUGGGAGAAGGCACUUGGGGGCAGAACUGGGCAUCUCUGAAUCCAGCUGGGGUGGGGCCCUGGUGCGCAGGCUGGAAGACAGGCCCCUGGGGAGAUCCCGACAUGGUCCCUGCACCCGCCCCUUCUGUACCAUCGCUUCUUUGGGAUGAGUUUAAACAGGACCACGAGCACAGGCUCAUCAGAACAACUACCAGCUUUCCAGAAACCUCCACUCACACCAUUCAUGUCUUACCGAGUUGUGUGUGUGUGUGGGGGGUACAUGUGUGCAUGUAUGUACUACAGGUUGAACUCAGGACUUUAACGCGUGUCACGUCUCUAGCCCUUUUUAAUUUUUGAGAUGGGGUCUCAGUACAUUACCCAGGCCGGGCUUAAACUUGAGACCCUCCUGCCUCAGCCUCCCAGAGUGCUGGGGUUACAGGUGUGCUCAGCCAUAGCCAACUUUUAAAAUAAUAAGUAAAAAGAGUACACUAUAAAAUAAUGAUAGUAGUAGUGUUACAUAACCCAGUGGCAUAUCUGUUUAUCAUUACCAGUGAGUAUUACAUAGCGUAUGUACCUGUACGAGUCACACUUUCACGUGCCUGGAAGCGCAAUAGGUUUGCUGGCCCCAGCAAUAUCACAAUCACAGGAAUUUCCUCGCGCUACAACCUCACAGUGGCCAAGGCAUCACUUUGUGAUAGGGAUUUUCAGCUCCAUCAUGAACAAAAGAAUCGAGACGCGUGAAGUCCAUGUACAGUUCCCCAUGAUGAAUGUAAUCAUUAUGUACUGCAAAUAUGCAGUAGUAAAAGUAAAAAUUUAAAACUAACUUUAAGAGGGGUGGGGAUUUAGCUCAGUGGCUCUGGCACCUGCCUUACAAUCACAAGGUCCUGAGUUUGAUCCCCGGUACCAAAAAAAACACAAACUUUAAGGACCAUCAUCACACACACAGUCCACCACUGGCUAAGCAUUAUUAGCACACAACUGCAUGCUGCGGUUUCUGCCUACUGUGUAAGUGAGAUCCAGACAGCUGACUGUCUAGACUCGAAAGCUCACUGGGGCUCACUGAGUCAUUACGAAGUAACUACCCACUGAGGACAUGCGCAGACUCAGAGCAUCUUGGGCACGCUGUCCACAUGUAGAUCUCAAGAGGGGUGUGUGUGUGUGUGUGUGUGUGUGUGUGUGUGUGUGUGUGUGUGUGUGCA